rnacentral:rRNA from 1 species
UUUACGGAGAGUUUGAUCCUGGCUCAGGAUGAACGCUGGCGGCGUGCUUAACACAUGCAAGUCGAACGGUGA